UCGAGUAGUGAACGCUGUCGGUAGGCCUAACACAUGCAAGUCGAACGGCAGCGACAGGAGAGCUUGCUCGUCUGGGUGGCGAGUGGACGGCGGGUGAGGAAUACAUCGGAAUCUACUCUGGUACGUGGGGGAUAAACGUAGGGAAACUUACGCUAAUACCGCAUACGACCUACGGGUGAAAGGCAGGGGACCUUCGGGCCUUUGCGCGAUUGAAUGGAGCCGAUGUCGGAUUAGCUAGGUUGGCGGGGUAAAGGCCCACCAAGGCGACGAUCCGUAGCUGGUCUGAGAGGAUGAUCAGCCACACUGGAACUGAGACACGGUCCAGACUCCUACGGGAGGCAGCAGUGGGGAAUAUUGGACAAUGGGCGCAAGCCUGAUCCAGCCAUACCGCGUGGGUGAAGAAGGCCUUCGGGUUGUAAAGCCCUUUUGUUGGGAAAGAAAUCCAGCUGGCUAAUACUCGGUUGGGAUGACGGUACCCAAAGAAUAAGCACCGGCUAACUUCGUG
rnacentral:rRNA from 1 species